rnacentral:other from 1 species
CUCUGGCCAAGAGAACACAGACUGAUUGUGUGUUAGAGACGCUUGUAUUGAGAGGUGAGCUGCGCGGCCUGCUUUUUCUGGGCCUGCCUUUGGUUUUCUCAUCUUUGCCUAACCCCGGGUCUCUGUCAUUCUCAGAUCUCUAUCCUCGCCCGCCUUUCUGUGCUGCGGCCUGUUGCCGAAUUUCCUGCGACUUCCUGAUUGCUUACUUGCUGACCCGACUGGCCGACGACACCGGCAAGAUGAAGCUCGCUCCGGUGGUGGCUUCGGUGCUGCUG